rnacentral:lncRNA from 1 species
AGAGGAUGGUUUCUUCUCUAAGAUUGAAGUUUUGUGGAUUCAAGCCCAGAUCUUGUUCAUCUUCCGCGUCACUGUUAUGUCAAUUGGUAUCAGAGUAAGUCAACAUUUCAGUCAAGAUUCAAAGAUGUCACGAGGUAAAUCUACUCAUAUUGGUGAUGAUGAUUCACUUGAAGUUGUUCCUAUGUUAAAGUCAAAUUUUCUAUUAUUUCAAGAUCGAAUAAAUUAGAAAUUUGAUGAUCUUAGUGAAACCUAGAAACAAUUUUUAACUAGAAUGAGUACAUUAGAGAGUCAUUCACAUCCUCCUAGAGAUCAUGAGAUUAAAUGUCUUUAGAAAGUCACUCAUGUCGAAUCUUCAUCAGAUACUUAUUGUACAUCUGGUUCUACAAGUUUUAAAUCAAGAUUUGAAGAAGAUAAUUUUUGAGAUUUUCACAUGAAGAUUGACUUAUUAUGUUUUAAUAAUCAUUUGAAGAUUGAAGAGUUCUUAGAUUGGUUAGUUGAAGUAGAACAAUUUUUUAAAUAUAUGAAAAUUUCAGAUGAAAAACAAGUAAAGUUAUUGGCUUAUAAAUUGAAGGGUGGAGCUUCUGCUUAGAGGGAUCAAUUACAAACCACCCGUACAAGGUCAAGCAAAGAACUUAUACGAUCAUGGGAGAAAAUGAAGGAACUUUUGAAAUCUUGUUUUCUUCUCCCAUAUUAUGAACAAAUUUUAUAUCAAUAGUAUCAAAAUUGUAGGCAAGGAAAUAGAUCAAUUUUUGAUUAUGCUGAAGAAUUUUAUCAUUUAUUUUCUCGAAUUGACAUGACAAAAUCUGAGUCAUAUAUGAUUUCAAGAUUUAAAGGUGGUCUUAGAUGGGAAAUCGAAGAUAAAGUAGCUUUACAAUCAUUUUUCAAGCUCAAUGAUAUUGUAAUGGUUGUAGAGCGUGUUGAAGCCUUAUUAGAGAAAAGAAAAACUAGAAUUCGAAAUUUUGGAAAUCAGAAUUCAACUCUUCAACUAGAAAGAGGAAGAUCCACUAGUUUUUCUUCUAUACCCCACAACACGUGAAUAAAUCAAAGUUUUAUUAGAUCAAGUAGAACAAAUCCUAUUGUCCAAGUCUCUUCUAACAAAAAUCUUUAUACUCUUAGUGUUGUUCCUAAAUGUUAUAGGUGUAGAGAAAAUGGACACAAAUCAAAUAUCUGUCUUAAAUGUGACACUGUAAACCUUGCAGAUUCUAUUGAAGAGGAAAUAAAAUAUAAAGAACCAGAAAUUGAAGGUGAGCAAGAAGAAAAUUUUAUUGAAUUUGAUAUUGGAGAUGCACUGUCUCAUUCACUUAUAGUGAGAAGAUUGAUGUAUUCACCAAAAAGAGAAGAAGACCCAC